GUGGGCGCUAUACAGCAGAAAUUUUUUUUCUUUUUUAAAUGAACAUUUAAAAAAAAAAAAAAAAAACCGAAACAAAGAAGACAGAGACGGAGCCAGCCAUGAAAACUACUCCUUUGAAGAAGUCACCGUGUCCGAAUCGCGGUUGUUUCUUUGAAUCCACAGAAACGCCGCGGUUUGAUCAUACCGCUUUGGUUACAGUCCAAUUCCCUCCCUCUCCUUUUACCCCCAACACGCCUUUCGUCGCCGCCAUCGCUGCAUGACGGUCUCAAUCGGGUUGCGUCGCUUUUGGCUUCUGUAGCGGCAAAUAGUUACCUUCUCUUUUUCAACAUUCGCGUCUUAAUUUCUAUCUCCAGCUUGAGGAGCCACUUCCAAUCUCCGAUCCAUCUAUGGAGAAUAUACUACAGAGUUUAUGAGGUACCAAAAAAUCUAUUCUCAAAAUCUAUCAUGGAAUUAAGGGAAAUUAAUUAAAUUUGUCAUAAUCCUUAGAAAAACAUGAUUAUUUUACCAGGAUCAGCAUCUUCUAUGUUUUUCUCAUCUUUUCUUUCUAGGAACAUGUUGGAGGAUUUAUGGCUCUCUUUCCCCUUUUGUUUUCCUUUAAAAAUUAAGGAAAUUUUAACAAAACUAUAUGGAACUUUCCCAGUUCUUUAAAGUCUUGCAGUAUGUGGGGCAGUUAAAAAAGCUGUGCUACUAUAUAUGCAUGAUUUUGAAGAUUCAUAUCCAGCUAGCUCUUCUUUAUGUCAUGGAAUUUAGGGAAAUUGGUUUGUCAAAAUCUUUCAGAAAUGAUUUAUUACCACUAUUUCUUCUAUGUAUUUUUUCAUGUUUGCUUUCUAAGAACAUGUUGGAGUUCAUUCAAGUCUUUUACAGUUUGUGGGGUGCUAAAAAAUCUGUGCUAUUAUAUAUGUAUGAUUUUUAGGAGUAAUAAAAUUAUAAUCCCCAUUCAUAUUCA